rnacentral:rRNA from 1 species
CCCGGUGUCUCAAGCGAUGAGGUCACACCCGACUCCAUUCCGAACUCGGUCGUUAAGCUCAUCUGCGCCGAUGAUACUUGCCUGAAUAGGUGUGGGAAAGUAGGCCGGUGCCGGGU